rnacentral:rRNA from 1 species
UACGUAGGGUGCAAGCGUUAAUCGGAAUUACUGGGCGUAAAGCGUGCGCAGGCGGUUAUGCAAGACAGAUGUGAAAUCCCCGGGCUUAACCUGGGAACUGCAUUUGUGACUGCAUAGCUAGAGUACGGUAGAGGGGGAUGGAAUUCCGCGUGUAGCAGUGAAAUGCGUAGAUAUGCGGAGGAACACCGAUGGCGAAGGCAAUCCCCUGGACCUGUACUGACGCUCAUGCACGAAAGCGUGGGGAGCAAACAGGAUUAGAAACCCCCGUAGUCC